rnacentral:lncRNA from 1 species
UCCAUAUUGGUAAGUGUAUUAUGGAUACAUAAAUUGAAAACAUGGGACAUAUCACCAUAAAGGAUGAAUAUAAUCAUGAGUUUCUCUCAGAAUUGAGGAAGCAAUUGAAAUCUUUGUCAGAAUUCUACAUCCUCAAACACAAUAAAAGCUGAAAUUUUGGACUUGGAGAAACUAUAAACUCCAAGUAUAUAGAGUACUCGAGGGUAUGUAAUGAAUAUUUAUCGAUAUUAUUUUUAAAACUAAAAGUUGGAGUUUGAGAAACUUGUAAAUAGGAUUAAAG